AAAGUACCUAAUGCAGGAAUUGAACCUGGGUCCUAGUGGUUGAAAACCAACAGUUUAGACCAUCCUUCCACCAUGUACUC